CUGCUGGGGCGAGCGAGGGGCAGCCCCGGCCAGAGGCGGAGGAGGAGGAGGAGGACGGAGAGGGGGAGGAAGAUGGUGGAGCUGGAGGCAACAGCGGCCAGAGGGAAGGCUCGUGCCCAGGCUGGCCGCCCACCCUGUCAUUACCUCCGCGCCGCCUGCUAACGUGGGCCCCGCCAGACCCCAGCUGUCAGGCUCCAAGGUCUGAAGCCACUUGGGCUGUUGGGCCACCCUGGACACUCAGCUUCUCAUUUGUCCUUUCUCACUACUUCCUCUAUUUCUGGAGCCACAGGCUGAGUUGCAUCUGCUGACAUUGGUGGGUCUUAUUGCCCCUGCCUCUGAAUGAACUGAAUACCGUGGUGCAGCAGAGAGUUCAAGGCUGGGAAUCAGGAGAGACGGGGAUUUGAAUCUGCCUGCCUCUGAUGCUUACAGACUGCCUGAUCCAGGGUAAGUCAUAAAAAUUUCUGUAUAAAUGUCAACUCUGCUAAUUUCCUGCUCUGCUGCCUCACCCUA
rnacentral:lncRNA from 1 species